rnacentral:misc_RNA from 1 species
GAUGAAGAACGCAGCGAAAUGCGAUAAGUAAUGUGAACUGCAGAAUUCAGUGAAUCAUCGAAUCUUUGAACGCACCUUGCACCCUUUGGACUGCUCCAAAGGGUAUGCUCGUUUGAGUGUCAUUGUACUCUCACACUCUCUGAUCCUUUGGAUUUGGGGAGCAGUGGACUUGGGUGCUUGCUGCUUCCUUGUGGCUCACCUGAAAUGCAUCAGUGCAUCUCUCGAUUGGACAUAGUACGGCGUGAUAAGUGUCUUCGCCGGCACCUCAUAUGAGGGUGGCCGAUCGGGAGCUCUGUGCUUUCAAACCGUCUUCGGACAACGCUGACAACUUGACCUCAAAUCGAGUAGGACUACCCGCUGAACUUAAGCAUAUCAAUAAGCGGAGGA